rnacentral:rRNA from 1 species
ACUUAAAUUGAAGAGUUUGAUCAUGGCUCAGAUUGAACGCUGGCGGCAGGCCUAACACAUGCAAGUCGAGCGGUAGCACAGAGAGCGUGCUCUCGGGUGACGAGCGGCGGACGGGUGAGUAAUGUCUGGGAAACUGCCUGAUGGAGGGGGAUAACUACUGGAAACGGUAGCUAAUACCGCAUAACGUCGCAAGACCAAAGUGGGGGACCUUCGGGCCUCAUGCCAUCAGAUGUGCCCAGAUGGGAUUAGCUAGUAGGUGAGGUAACGGCUCACCUAGGCGACGAUCCCUAGCUGGUCUGAGAGGAUGACCAGCCACACUGGAACUGAGACACGGUCCAGACUCCUACGGGAGGCAGCAGUGGGGAAUAUUGCACAAUGGGCGCAAGCCUGAUGCAGCCAUGCCGCGUGUGUGAAGAAGGCCUUCGGGUUGUAAAGCACUUUCAGCGGGGAGGAAGGCGUUAAGGUUAAUAACCUUGGCGAUUGACGUUACCCGCAGAAGAAGCACCGGCUAACUCCGUGCCAGCAGCCGCGGUAAUACGGAGGGUGCAAGCGUUAAUCGGAAUUACUGGGCGUAAAGCGCACGCAGGCGGUCUGUCAAGUCGGAUGUGAAAUCCCCGGGCUUAACCUGGGAACUGCAUUCGAAACUGGCAGGCUAGAGUCUUGUAGAGGGGGGUAGAAUUCCAGGUGUAGCGGUGAAAUGCGUAGAGAUCUGGAGGAAUACCGGUGGCGAAGGCGGCCCCCUGGACAAAGACUGACGCUCAGGUGCGAAAGCGUGGGGAGCAAACAGGAUUAGAUACCCUGGUAGUCCACGCCGUAAACGAUGUCGAUUUGGAGGUUGUGCCCUUGAGGCGUGGCUUCCGGAGCUAACGCGUUAAAUCGACCGCCUGGGGAGUACGGCCGCAAGGUUAAAACUCAAAUGAAUUGACGGGGGCCCGCACAAGCGGUGGAGCAUGUGGUUUAAUUCGAUGCAACGCGAAGAACCUUACCUGGUCUUGACAUCCACAGAACUUAGCAGAGAUGCUUUGGUGCCUUCGGGAACUGUGAGACAGGUGCUGCAUGGCUGUCGUCAGCUCGUGUUGUGAAAUGUUGGGUUAAGUCCCGCAACGAGCGCAACCCUUAUCCUUUGUUGCCAGCGGUCCGGCCGGGAACUCAAAGGAGACUGCCAGUGAUAAACUGGAGGAAGGUGGGGAUGACGUCAAGUCAUCAUGGCCCUUACGACCAGGGCUACACACGUGCUACAAUGGCAUAUACAAAGAGAAGCGACCUCGCGAGAGCAAGCGGACCUCAUAAAGUAUGUCGUAGUCCGGAUUGGAGUCUGCAACUCGACUCCAUGAAGUCGGAAUCGCUAGUAAUCGUAGAUCAGAAUGCUACGGUGAAUACGUUCCCGGGCCUUGUACACACCGCCCGUCACACCAUGGGAGUGGGUUGCAAAAGAAGUAGGUAGCUUAACCUUCGGGAGGGCGCUUACCACUUUGUGAUUCAUGACUGGGGUGAAGUCGUAACAAGGUAACCGUAGGGGAACCUGCGGUUGGAUCACCUCCUUACCUUAAAGAA